CUUGGUGCAUUUAGANGGAAGUGAAAAGUCGUAACAAGGUUUCCGUAGGNNGAACCUGCGGAAGGAUCAUUA
rnacentral:rRNA from 1 species